rnacentral:rRNA from 1 species
UACGGAGGGAGCUAGCGUUAUUCGGAAUUACUGGGCGUAAAGCGUGCGCAGGCGGUGAUGUAAGACAGUUGUGAAAUCCCCGGGCUCAACCUGGGAACUGCAUCUGUGACUGCAUCGCUGGAGUGCGGCAGAGGGGGAUGGAAUUCCGCGUGUAGCAGUGAAAUGCGUAGAUAUGCGGAGGAACACCGAUGGCGAAGGCAAUCCCCUGGGCCUGCACUGACGCUCCAUGCACGAAAGCGUGGGGAGCAAACAGG